GAUGAACGCUGGCGGCGUGCCCAAUACAUGCAAGUCGAGCGAACGGACGAGAAGCUUGCUUUUCUGAUGUUAGCGGCGGACGGGUGAGUAACACGUGGAUAACCUACCUAUAAGACUGGGAUAACUUCGGGAAACCGGAGCUAAUACCGGAUAAUAUUUUGAACCGCAUGGUUCAAAAGUGAAAGACGGUCUUGCUGUCACUUAUAGAUGGAUCCGCGCUGCAUUAGCUAGUUGGUAAGGUAACGGCCUACCAAGGCAACGAUGCAUAGCCGACCUGAGAGGGUGAUCGGCCACACUGGAACUGAGACACGGUCCAGACUCCUACGGGAGGCAGCAGUAGGGAAUCUUCCGCAAUGGGCGAAAGCCUGACGGAGCAACGCCGCGUGAGUGAUGAAGGUCUUCGGAUCGUAAAACUCUGUUAUUAGGGAAGAACAUAUGUGUAAGUAACUGUGCACAUCUUGACGGUACCUAAUCAGAAAGCCACGGCUAACUACGUG
rnacentral:rRNA from 1 species